UGGAGGGGGCGGGGCCUGGGGCGGCAGAUUCCCAGGGGCGGCCACGGGGGUGUCUCCGUCCUUCCGAGGCUCCCACGCCUCUAGGGGGAGCGUGGCCUUGGCUUUCCGAGCCUCGGCUUUGGAGCGACGAGGCGGAGUCUGCGCCUUGGGAAAUCGCGAUCCAGACUGAGGGGGCGUGACCUCUGAGCCAGUGCCGGGCUCAAAGAUGAACACAUGAGAGUAAGCCCUGGGGCUUUGCAUGGAACUACUAGGAAAUCCUCCUCUUUCCACUGAAGUACCUAUGUAAAUUAGAAGCCUAGAGUGACUGGGGCCAUCUUCGCUACCUCAAGGGGAAGCCUGCCUGAGACUGAGCCCAACAAAGAGGAGCAGAGAGCCAAGAGAGUCGAGUUGCUCCUGGUACUGUACAAACACCUGGAUCUAGCCAUGCCUGAAAGCAUAUACAUUGGGAUUUCUUGAUUGCAUUAGCCAGCAAAUCCUCCUUUUAUCUUUAAGCUUCCUUGAAUUGGGGAUUGACUCUAAUUCUAUGCCAGGGGUAGUGCUCUCAGUUCAGGUACAUAGAGAAGGAAGUGGAUGAGGAUGUCACCUGCUUCAUUUCCUGAAGGGGGGCCACAGCCUUAGCCCGAGAGGCGCUGACCACCUUGGCAAGAGUUGGGACUGCUGUGUUGGGUCUUCCUUCUGGUUCACUGGCUCCUGCCGAGAAGCCCCAGUUGAUUUUGGAGGGGGGCCACGAGGAACCUCUGCUGGGGGCAUUGAUCAGGAGAGGUUUAGGCCUACAGUGGAUGGGACCGUAGCAGGUACCUGCUGCAAGCUGACUGCUGGGGUCUGGAGAUUCAGGCCGGAGCCACCAAAAGUCAGCUGCGGUUGGGCCUGCAGGCUGGCGUUCCUCUCGGCUUGUAGGCUGAGCCUGGCGAAACCGGUUUAUGUACCUGCGAGCAUCAGAGAAGGGGAGGUGGGUGAAUGAGGAGAGCCAAAGAAUAGUAAUAAUGACAAUAACAAUCACAACAGCUGAUGUUUAUCAGUUACCUUGGCAAUACCUAGCCCCUCAGCAUCCUCUCAUACACAGUAAUGCAAUAUUAUGUAAGACUAUAUGAUACGGGGCACAUAGCCACUCUUCUACAGAUUAUAUUUAAUUUUAUCAGGGGUCCCUAUAGUUUUAUGGCUAUGUAACUAGGUUCUUGACCAACAGGGUUUUGUUUUGUUUUUAAAUAUUUAAUUAAUUUAUUUAUGAGACAGAGAGAGAGAGGCAGAGACACAUGCAGAGGGAGAAGCAGGCUCCCCAUGGGAAGCCCAAUGCGGGACUCGAUCCCAGGACCCUGGGAUCAUGCCCUGAGCCAAAGGCAGAUGCUCAACUGCUGAGCAACCCAGGCAUCUCAACCAAUAGGGUUAUGAGAUGAGGAAAUGUGAUUCUGGAUAGUGGAUGUGGUUGGGAGCCAUUCUGGUCCAUAAAGGAAAGGGCAAGAGCCUGGUGAUGGGAGGCAGCACGACAGAAGGAAACUGUCCCUGAUCCUAGCUGGGGGUUGCCACAGCAGCCCUGGUUGCUUCUGCCUGGACUGUUGAGUGAGGGAGAAAUAAAUGCUGUCUUUCUUACGCCA